rnacentral:ncRNA from 2 species
CGAGGCGACUCUGGAGAAAGCGCGGCGCCGUCGCCGGGCUUACCGAAGGUGAAAGGCGCACGGGCGCCGCAACUCUCAGGUAUCAGGACAGAGCGGGGAGG